rnacentral:rRNA from 1 species
GACGAACGCUGGCGGCGUGCUUAACACAUGCAAGUCGAACGGAAAGGCCCUGCUUUUGUGGGGUGCUCGAGUGGCGAACGGGUGAGUAACACGUGAGUCACCUGCCCUUGACUUUGGGAUAACUUCAGGAAACUGGGGCUAAUACCGGAUAGGAGCUCCUGCUGCAUGGUGGGGGUUGGAAAGUUUCGGCGGUUGGGGAUGGACUCGCGGGUUAUCAGCUUGUUGGUGGGGUAGUGGCUUACCAAGGCUUUGACGGGUAGCCGGCCUGAGAGGGUGACCGGCCACAUUGGGACUGAGAGACGGCCCAGACUCCUACGGGAGGCAGCAGUGGGGAAUAUUGCACAAUGGGCGGAAGCCUGAUGCAGCAACGCCGCGUGCGGGAUGACGGCCUUCGGGUUGUAAACCGCUUUCGCCUGUGACGAAGCGUGAGUGACGGUAAUGGGUAAAGAAGCACCGGCUAACUACGUG